GACGGAGGAGGCAAGCGUUAUCCGGAAUUAUUGGGCGUAAAGCGUCCGCAGGUGGCGAUUCAAGUCUGCUGUCAAAGGUCGGGGCUUAACCCCGAGAAGGCAGUGGAAACUGAAUAGCUAGAGUGCGGUAGGGGCAGAGGGAAUUCCCGGUGUAGCGGUGAAAUGCGUAGAGAUCGGGAAGAACACCAGUGGCGAAAGCGGUCUGCUGGGCCUGCACUGACACUGAGGGACGAAAGCUAGGGGAGCGAAAGCG
rnacentral:rRNA from 1 species